rnacentral:rRNA from 1 species
CCUACGGGGGGCAGCAGUGAGGAAUAUUGGUCAAUGGCCGAGAGGCUGAACCAGCCAAGUCGCGUGAGGGAAGACGGCCCUACGGGUUGUAAACCUCUUUUGUCGGGGAGCAAAGAGAGUCACGUGUGACUCAUUGAGAGUACCCGAAGAAAAAGCAUCGGCUAACUCCGUGCCAGCAGCCGCGGUAAUACGGAGGAUGCGAGCGUUAUCCGGAUUUAUUGGGUUUAAAGGGUGCGCAGGCGGAGGUGCAAGUCAGCGGUCAAAUUGCAGGGCUCAACCCCGUACUUCCGUUGAAACUGCAUCCC